GGAGGAAAAUGAUAAUUCAAUGAAAGGAACAGUGAUCCUGCAUAUAAACAAGUCUCGCUGCGUCACUGGUGUUCACUAGUGGCGCGUCGAAGCUUCGCCUUGAUUUCUCCAGGCGUGUAUGGAGCACCUGUUUAAAAAAGCUUUUGCAACAGACGGAAGUGGACGCUGAUUCCUGGGGACACUUAGGGACAGUCAGCCACACCGCCAGGCAUUUACAGCACGGCACGAUGAGCUGAACGUGCAGUAAGCCCUUAAUGUGACCCUGCAGCCAGCGCCUCCACGACACCACAGGCAUGGCUACUGCUGCUUCCACCACCAUCACCAUCACCACCACCACUGCCAGCAAAACCAGCACGACCUCAUCUGCCUCGACCACCGCUGAGGGAAGUAAGAUAUUCGUAAGAGUGUGACAUGAACAGCAGCAGAAGCAAAGGGAUCUACAACAACAACCAGUACAGUAAUAGGAGCAACCACAACAACAACAACAACAAUAACAGCAGUACUUAAAAAAAUACCUAUGUUUCUGCUUUUGUAGAUUAAAAAAGUAAAGUUGUGCUUGCUAGAUGCGACUGUUGCAGGAUAAUAUUUACUUUUGUUCUUGUGGCAGAAUAUAAUUGGUAUUGCUUCCUUGUUGGAGUGCUUUGAAAAAAACAAAAAAAAAACAUAUACUCUUUUUUUUCCAAGAUGUUUAAGAAUAAUAGGUAUAUAUUUUCUCACUGCGCUGCAUAUUCCGUUUCCAAACUUGAUCUGUAAGCUAGUCUGUAUGUAAACUUUCCAGUGGUUUUGUGUGAUGCUAUGGGGAAGGAAAAGUAAAGUUUAUAAGAUGGUGUGGAGGUUUUUUGCAAGGAGUUGGCAAUUGGACACCUACUGCUACGACUGCA